rnacentral:rRNA from 1 species
UGGGGAAUAUUGCACAAUGGGCGCAAGCCUGAUGCAGCCAUGCCGCGUGUAUGAAGAAGGCCUUCGGGUUGUAAAGUACUUUCAGCGAGGAGGAAGGCGUUGUGGUUAAUAACCGCAGCGAUUGACGUUACUCGCAGAAGAAGCACCGGCUAACCCCGUGCCAGCAGCCGCGGUAAUACGGAGGGUGCAAGCGUUAAUCGGAAUUACUGGGCGUAAAGCGCACGCAGGCGGUCUGUCAAGUCGGAUGUGAAAUCCCCGGGCUCAACCUGGGAACUGCAUCCGAAACUGGCAGGCUAGAGUCUUGUAGAGGGGGGUAGAAUUCCAGGUGUAGCGGUGAAAUGCGUAGAGAUCUGGAGGAAUACCGGUGGCGAAGGCGGCCCCCUGGACAAAGACUGACGCUCAGGUGCGAAAGCGUGGGGAGCAAACA